CGUCCAUGAAAACAGCAAGGGAAAUCCGUCAGCGGUUCUGGAUGGACAUUAGGUACAGCCGACCUGUGACCCAAUGUCGCAAGUGAACUACCCCAGACCGACAGGACUGUCUUACUGUAAGUGGACAGAACCCUGGUUAGAUACAUCUAGGAAGGUGGUCUGAGCUCUAGUUGGGUGAUUUGGCGUCUGGGGUAUCUGAAGCUGGAUAGAUUUAUGACAUUUCAGCUGCAUUAUUCACUCCUUUAACAAAGUUUUUAACCCUGGCAAACACCAUUAUUGAGGUACAAGGACCUUUAUGGUUAUAUGUGGGGAUCCGAUAUCAUGUACCCCUCCGUGAUAGUCCUGAGGGGAACAUGUAAUCAUACUGAGUCAAGUGCUUCAUAUUGGUUGUUUCCGAGCUGGGGUUAAAUUCUCUUGUGACUGGAUGGUUGGGUGCAGCUGAACUAGAGUAAAUCUAUUUUUGCAACAGUACCUCUUGCGUCGGAAAGUCUGACUAGGGUAAAGGUCAUCUGGUCCAGAAUAUCUGACUGACGGAAUAGGACGGCCUGCCAGCCCCCGGAGGAGGAGGAGGCGCCGUCCAAGGCGCAGAGAGAUCGUCGCCCCUCCCGAUUUCUCCCGGAGGAGGCGCCGUCCAAGGCGCAGAGAAAUCGUCGCCCCUCCCGAUUUCUCCCGGAGGAGGCGCCGUCCAAGGCGCAGAGAAAUCGUCGCCCCUCCCGAUUUCUCCCGGAGGA